CGAGGAGCUUGCUGCAUGAAUCCGUGAGUACAGUUUACAAACUGUCGCCACGGAUUGUUUUUUUUUCUCCUACAGGUGACUUCACUGGCUCCGUAGUCUCGCGAGAGGUGCAGGUCUGCAGCUGGAUACAUCUGUGACAAGGGGCGUAAAGGGGAGAAAAAGAAACCAUUCUGCGCAGCGUUCUUGAUGCUCAGACCAUCGUAAUAUUAUUGCACUGCAGUAAUGUCAGUGGAACAAGAAAAGAACUCUCUGGCUGAGACUCCAAGUCUCCAGGAGGAACAGAGUGUAAGAUCAGGCUCACAUGUGUCCAGCUCUGUGUCUGUGAAAAGUGACUGUUCAAAACAUAAUGCACCAAACUUCAGUGAGACUUCUAACAAAAGUAACAAAGAGCAAAAUAACAGUAUAAAUAUUGGUGCCGAAUUUAAACGGUGGAAAACUUUAAAAAAAACAGAAGGGUAUGACGAGUGAUGUGGAACUGGCAGCUUUUCUUCUGAACAGGUGGGGACACAAGAUACCACAGUUUACACUUUACAAUCAGUUUGCAUAAAUAACAAUGUAAAUGGAUCAACUUUGCCAAAAUGUUUACAUUUUUUUUUUUCCCCAGAGACUGAAUAAGCCAUAAUAUGUAACCUGGUUUUUGAAGUGUGAUGUACAUGUGUCUUGAACAUAUGCAGUGAUCCAUAUAACAAUGAAAAUGAAUAAGAAAUACAUUGACAGUUUUUGAAAGUUAAAUUCAGC
rnacentral:lncRNA from 1 species